ensembl:lncRNA
GGACUCUCUCAACAUUGCAACCUUGAGUUCAGCAGCAGAAAAGUAGAUUAAAAGAAUUGGGAGAAUAAGCCAGUUUUUGGCUCGAAAUUGUGCGGCUGGAUCUCUCACUUUGUCCCUGAAGCGGAGAAGAAGUUCAAAGGACAGUCAAUCGCCUGAUGAAGACCGAUAGAACAUCGUGGACUUGAAUACAGCAGGCAAAUGACAGUGCCACUGAUCCAUUAACACUGAUGACGACUGACGACCAGCAGCAGCAUGUAAGAGUAAUGCAAGAUGUACUGUGAAAAUACAGGCUGGGCAGUUGAACAGUGGGAUAAAGAAUUGUGGAAGAGCACUGGACAUUGAGUGAUAUUUUGCCAUGCUGGGCAGUUGAACAGUGGGAUAAAGAAUUGUGGAAGAGCACUGGACAUUGAGUGAUAUUUUGCCAUGCUGGGACUUAAAUCUGAAAGAAAGACUGUAAAGAAACAGAGAAGAAGACAACAGCUGAGUUGAGACUGUGUUUGCUGGAGCUUUGAAGCCCGAACAGGACAUUGUGCAGAGAGGACCAGUGAGAGAUGAAGCUGGACGAGUUUGACUGCGAGAAUAUAGGAUAUAAUUGGAUUGAAAAUUGAAACCUGAACUCAUGAAUUGUUUAGGGAUGUCCACUACAGCAUAACAAAGAGGUAAACAUUAGAAAAGGUAGGAAUAAUGAACGAAAAUAAUUGUCAUUACCUUAAUGAAUAGAAAACACACAUACAAAUUGUUACAUGUGAGAUUAUUUUUGAAAUGAAUCAGAAGUGAGAUAGUUUGAGUCUAAAGCUCAGUGGUGAAAUGCAUAAAUUAAAUAUGAAUAUAUCGGAUGCAAUGAAGAAACAGCUUACACGUAGUGUACAUUAACAUGAAUACAUCGCAAGGCAACGAAGAACUCAAUGAGUUAAUUUAAUGAAGAAGCAGUUUACACCCAAUUAACAUAAAAUGCAGGGAAGAACACGCUUACAUGCAUGGCAUAAUUGGUGUUUCUGAUCAGAGAUAGAGAAAUGGGUUAUUUAACCACUGGUGAUAAUAAUGAAAAUGUCUUAGUUUGUUAUUUUCAGGGGUAAAGCAGACCCAGGCCAAUUCUCCAGAUGCAGGAGUCUGAAGAAAUUACAGGUUAACAUGAAUGGAUAUGUUAAGGCAAGUUUCUGGUUGAAUUGUUCACAGCAUGAUGUGUCCAGGAACCUGAAAAGCAAGCCCCAGCUCCUGGCUGAAGACUAGGAGUGCUUUAUUUAAGGUGGGAAAUCAAAAUGUGGGUUAGUAAUUGGGGGAAAAAGAAAACUGACUGCUUAACUGGAGAGUGGGGAAGAAGUCUGGGAGACUGUGAAGCCAUAGAUGCAAAAUAACAUAUACCCAUACACACACAAACAGAAAAUGCAUUAACCUUAUAAAGACAAGCUCUUGAAGCUUAAUGAACAGGUAUUGAUUUAAAACCUGGCUAAGAACAUAAGCAUAUGCAAUGAAGAUCUGCUUGCUGCUUGUAUGAGUGAGAGAAUGGUGUGAAUGGUUAAUACAAUUGAUGGAAAGAUUUAAAAUAGAUGGAAAAAACAAAAGAAAAGUGUCUAUAAGAGUGACUCAGGAGUGCUCUUGCACUGAUUUAUCAAAGUAAGUGAUUAGUAUAGAAAGAAAAUGAAAAUAAUUCAAUAACGUGAUAAAGUUUAAACAUGUAUUCCUCUUGUUAAGUUGGCUGUUGAGCUGUGGGUUUAUGCAAAUUAGCUGGAGUGAGUGAGUGACAAAGACACUUCCUGUGUGCGUGUGUGGCGGAGGCUUUCGGUUCAGUUCAAGAGAGAGCAGUGGCUGUUGAAGAGUAUUGGGAGAAAUAUAUAAUGGUAAAGUAUCAGGAUAUUUGAUUACGGUGGUCAGGUCUGUUCAGAGGGGCAGAUUUGGACAGGAAAUUUAUAAUUUAAGGAUGAUAUGUGGUUGAAAUUGGUUUUUAUCUUGUGCUGAAUGAAAACGGUCUUUGAUCUUUUGACGAGGUUUUCGGUGUGUUGAACGGGUGAAAUUUAAGAUUGUUUCAGAUUUUUGAGGCUGUUGUUUUAUUUCCAGAGAGGGUGUUUCAUUAAGGCAGGGAUAGGUCUGAGAGGGGCCCCAAAAAUUUUUUGUAGUAGUAAGUGCACUCAGGAAAAAACCUGUCAGGUGAUUUUGUUUGGUACUUUGAUGAGCUAAUAAUCAGCUCUCUUUUUUCAUUUUUGUUCUAAGCAGGCCUGGAAGAGAGUGAACGGACGGCGCUGACAAAAUUACCAAGUACGAAAAUCAGGUGGGCUUUACAGAAUUAUAAUUGAUUACAAUCAGAGACUGAUUGGCGGCAAGUCUCUGUCUAAAAAUGGAUUGUAUCGAUUCAAUCCAGUCAAAAGUAUAGAGAACUAUUUUCCUAAACAGGAAAACGAAAUAAAACAAAUGAUUGAGCUCAUUUUGCUGAUGUGGAGCAUCUGAUGACGUGCGCGGAAGGCUGCAGAUCAGCAAAAAAAAUAUCAUGAGUGAAUGCAUGUGAGUGAAUGUGAGUGACUGGACUAAGGUGGGAAUGAAUAAAUGUGGACAGAUUUAUCAUGUGAGGAAAAGAAAGGGGAUGCUUUGUUUUGCUUUUGCCAUAGGCAGGACAAGUGGGAGACUUAAAUCUGGGGAGGCUGAUUUUGGGAUGCUGAUGUUUGCUUUGAGAAAAUUUCUUUUUACGGGGGUUAGAUUAUGGGAUUACAUUAUAUUGUUGGGAGAAUGCUAAAUGCUAAAAGGGAAACAUUGUUUGAUGAGAUUCAAGUUACCAUUAACUGAGGUAACUCAGGAUUAAUAACUGUUCUGUUCAAGUUUAUUUUUUGUUAUGACAUAGACGGGAUCAUAAGGGGAGAGUUGAGUAUGAAAUGUAAACUACAGGUUUUGUUUUCAGGAAAUUCCAAGGAUCCAGACCUUGCAUGGAGCAACGAGUUGGAGGAGAUUUGACAUGAUGAUUAAAUUGAUUUUGUUCCUUAAACACAGGUUUUCAGGGCUGAAGCAAAACACCGGAGAGGAGAAUUGCUGAGCGGUUCUGGGCAAUGAAAUGACUAACCUUUUUUCCUUUUAAUUUGUUAAGCUUGGGUGGAGCAUGUUGAGUUUUUGCCACAUGAGAUGUGUCAAAAAGAGAGGGGUUUAAGAUUUAAUUUGUUUAAUGUGAAAGGGUUUUACUAGGAUUUUAUAACGAUUGGGGUUGUUUGAUAAUUUAGAUAUGGUAAAACUGAGGCAGAGAUUGUUAAUUCUAAAGAAAGGAGUAAAAUGAACUGAAUUCUGUUUAGAAGAUAAAUUGCUGGGGUUAAAAAGAAGUUGUACACCAAAUUAAAGGGGAAAUUGUGGGAAUAAAGGAUAUGCUUUGGGGAAAAUAGUGAACAUUUUAUGAGUAGAAAAUGUGGGAUUUUUCUUUUUGAUUUUUAGGAUAAGUGGUAACAGUGACAUAAUGUUAGAAUGUUGUUAUUUUUAGGGUAGUGGAGAGCUUUUUAUGAGGAUGUUAAAAGUCUCGCUGACUCAAAUGAAUAAUAUUGGAGAUUAUAUAUGUAGAAAUGAUUUUUCAUACACAUUGCAUUUUGGGGCCUUUAACGGAGUUGUGGCUCAGAGAGUCGUCUCUUGAGGGUCAUAAACUUUUGGUUAACGUUAUGAUUAGCCAAUCUACUGUGAGAAUGACCUGAGUUUUGAAGGAUUGCACACGCUUACAGACAUACAGAGUUCAUCAACACACAGGACAGUAUUGAUUUGAGGCCUAGGGCCUGAAAUUCCUUUAGCUUUUAACUGAAUUUGAGUUGGCCCAAUAACAAAUGACAGAAAGAGGAACUGAAUAGGAGUUUUGCUUGUAACUAAACUGAGUGACAUAUAAAAUAUUGAGAUAACAGAUGCAGCUCUAACUUAGUCCUCUUAUAUAAAAAGCAGUUACAGAAUACAGAAAUACAGAAAACAGAAGCAAAGGGAGAAAGCUUAUAUAUGUUGGUUAAGUCUGAUAAAGUUUAAGUUAGAGGGAGGCAUUACAUUAAAAGCAGCAAAAUGAAAUAAAAUGAUAUAUUCAAACAGGUUAUUACCCAGAAAAUGGGAGUUCAAAAUACUGUUAGAGUUCAGUUUUUAGCUAUGAUGAAGUUUAUCUAGAAGCAAUUAACUAGGUGCUUACACUUAGUGAUUAAAGUGGUUGUUUUUCUUUGAUCCUUUUAGUAGAAUAAGCCGUUAUAAUGAUUUUAUGAUGAUUUUGCUGGUGAGAGGUUGUCUGAUUUGUUAAGUCACAGGAUGCCAAGAGAGGGUCAGAGCUAAGAACAGUGAUCCUAAAUGUCCAUGAUGUCUGGGAUGGACAGGGGAGCAGUUGAAUGGGCCAAGGAGUGACCCAACACACAGUAUGGUGACCUCUUGUGGUCAAGAGGUCAAGAGUGGGAGUGUCAGGAAUAGAAAUAUUGUCCUGCUAUUAGUUGCUGCUAUUUUUAUAAUCAUCAUUAACAUUUCAGUAUUAAUAGUGAGGUUGCAGUUAGAUGCAUUCAGAUGUUCAAAUAUAUGGUUAUAGCCUUUA